AGAAAAGCGAAGAAAGAGACAGAUAACAUGAUCAUGUGGGAAAGGGAAAAAAUGCCUUGACUGAAAGCAUUUUUACCAUAACGACUGUUAUUAUUUCACUCUAGAGCUGACACCGGGACCCUGUUUUAUACUACAGGUAAAGGUGAUCCGGAACAUUCCGUUAUCAUGUUAGAGCUGGAUGCAUUUUGUACGUUAAUGCGUCAAUUAGGGUGGUACCGCGAAUUUAUAGCCUCGUCCCUUUU
rnacentral:ncRNA from 1 species